GUGGUGAUAGCUCAGAGGUAAAGUGUGUGCUUUCUAUGCACAAGGUCCUGGCUUCAAACUCCAGUACCCUCA
rnacentral:tRNA from 1 species